rnacentral:sRNA from 1 species
AAAGGCUUAACUUUAGGCCUCAACGACCCUAGACCCACGCCGGACAAUCCCUCUAAUCCCUCUCUCUGGGCCAGAAACGGCCUCCUGCUAAGGACAAAGAACUGCGGCCUGGGGGCCAGUUACUACAGGCUGAGCAGGCACCGCGCCGAGGCCCCGCCGCUGGAGCGCGAGGACAGUGGGACCUUCAGUUUGGGGAAGAUGAUAACAGCUAAGCCAGGGAAAACACCGAUUCAGGUAUUACACGAAUACGGCAUGAAGACCAAGAACAUCCCAGUUUAUGAAUGUGAAAGAUCUGAUGUGCAAAUACACGUGCCCACUUUCACCUUCAGAGUAACCGUUGGUGACAUAACCUGCACAGGUGAAGGUACAAGUAAGAAGCUGGCGAAACAUAGAGCUGCAGAGGCUGCCAUAAACAUUUUGAAAGCCAAUGCAAGUAUUUGAUAAAAUGGGAAUUACUAAGCUGUAAUCAGGCCUAAAGUGGCCUGACUUAAUACAGAGACUUUCUCACUUCUCCAUCACAAUUAUUUGGGUAGCUUCGGCAUGCAGCAUU